rfam:Clostridium asparagiforme DSM 15981 genomic scaffold Scfld5, whole genome shotgun sequence.
GUUGCAUAGCAUGCGUAUUAGAUAAGCAUUGAAAAAAAGGAUUUUCCCAUUUUCAACAUGGGCUUUUUUGUCAUGCUUAUUUUGCGGAUGCUAUACAAAAAACUAACGACGUAUAGAUAUAGUAUAGACAUAGUGCAAGCUAUGCCUUAGUUUUGUUGUACUGCUCUGUGCAUUAUAAAUGCAGGUCAAUGCUCAUGUUGAGGAUUGACCUGCAUUUUUUUG